rnacentral:misc_RNA from 1 species
CAAAAUGUGGAAAAAUGCGAUCCCAAACAUUCUCGGAAAAAGUCGAGCAAUAAAUUUACGUGGAAACGAGCAGAAGCACAGAAAAAACGCCAAAUCGCUUCAGUAGCCGCAGCGCAAAGGAGGAACAA